UAAAUAAAAAUAAAAAAGAAAAAUAUACUGUGCCACCUGCACUUAGUUACAAGCCUGCCUCCUUCACCUGCCAGGGUAUACCUUCAGGGUCAGGGCUGUGACUAUUCCCAGCUCCCAGGAUGGUGUCUGUUACUUAAAGGGAGCCUAAUAGGUGUUCAUGGAAAAAAUCUGCUGUUCAGGAUGGGAGAGGGGGUUUUCACAAUGUGUGGAUGUGUGUUUGUGUGUGUGUGUGUGUGUGUGCGUGUGUGUGUGUGAGGGGAGCUGUAUCUCAUUCCAGGCAAGGAGGCGGAGGUUAGAGUCCAGGGCACAGAUCAUGGCAGGGUCUAGUCCAGCAUCCCCAGUCCCACCCUGGUCCCCCUGAGGCUAUGAUUAACCCUUGUCCUGAGCACAAGGACAGAGCCUCAUCUGCCAGUCAAUCUUGGCCAUGUGGGGAAGUAGGUCGGCAUUUCAGGAUCCGGGUAGCUGCUGCACAUCAGGGCAAAACCAGCCCUCUGGAGCCCUGUGGAUGGAGAGCAGGGUGUGGGCACACCACAGCGCGCCACGAUGGCACAAACUGCAGCAGACUUGUGUCCACACCCCCCAGCUUGCUGGAGGCUGUGGGAAGGUCACUGCUCCCUGGACUCGUUUCCUCGCCCCUUCCAGCUCUCACCAUCCAAGAACGAGGCAUCUUGGGGGAGGAGAGAGUAGAACUGACUCCACUCCAGCAGGCCUCCUCCUGCUUCCUGUCCCAACAGCCCCAUCCCCCACUCCUAGUGAUGUCACUUCGGCCACCUCAUCACCAGCUUCUAACCCCCUUCCAGUCGCCCUUUCUGCCCUCAGAUGGCAACUGGGGGCAGCGGAGGUGUAUCCCUCUUUAUUCAGUCUCUCAUCUGGCACACUGGCCGGGAUUCCUGAACCUGACCCCCUCCAAACCCCUGUGGAAGCCACCGAUGAUGCCUUUUGGGACCAGUUCUGGGCAGACACAGCCACCUCGGUGCAGGAUGUGUUUGCACUGGUGCCAGCAGCAGAGAUCCGGGCCGUGCGGGAAGAGUCACCCUCCAACUUGGCCACCCUGUGCUACAAGCCUGGAUGCCCACCUGACCCCAAGUGCCAGGGUCCUCUCCCCACCUUCCAGCCUGCCCUCUGCUCCUGCCUGCCCCCACAGGCCGUUGAGAAGCUGGUACAGGGAGCUGAGAGUGGCUGCCACUCGGAGAAGGAGAAGCAGAUUGUCCUGAACUGCAGCCGGCUGCUCACCCGCGUGCUGCCCUACAUCUUUGAGGAUCCCGACUGGAGGGGCUUCUUCUGGUCCACAGUGCCCGGGGCAGGGCGAGGAGGGCAGGGAGAAGAGGAUGAUGAGAAUGCCAGGCCCCUGGCCGAGUCCCUGCUCCUGGCCAUUGCUGACCUGCUCUUCUGCCCGGACUUCACAGUCCAGAGCCACCGGAGGAGCACUGUGGACUCGGCGGAGGACGUCCACUCCCUGGACAGCUGUGAAUACAUCUGGGAGGCUGGUGUGGGCUUCGCUCACUCCCCCCAGCCUAACUACAUCCACGAUAUGAACCGGAUGGAGCUGCUGAAACUGCUGCUGACAUGCUUCUCCGAGGCCAUGUACCUGCCCCCAGCUCCGGAAAGUGGCAGCACCAACCCAUGGGUUCAGUUCUUUUGUUCCACGGAGAACAGACAUGCCCUGCCCCUCUUCACCUCCCUCCUCAACACCGUGUGUGCCUAUGACCCUGUGGGCUACGGGAUCCCCUACAACCACCUGCUCUUCUCUGACUACCGGGAGCCCCUGGUGGAGGAGGCUGCCCAGGUGCUCAUUGUCACCUUGGACCACGACAGUGCCAGCAGUGCCAGCCCCACUGUGGACGGCACCACCACUGGCACCGCCAUGGAUGAUGCCGAUCCUCCAGGCCCCGAGAACCUGUUUGUGAACUACUUGUCCCGCAUCCAUCGUGAGGAGGACUUCCAGUUCAUCCUCAAGGGUAUAGCCCGGCUGCUGUCCAACCCCCUGCUCCAGACCUACCUGCCCAACUCCACCAAGAAGAUCCAGUUCCACCAGGAGCUGCUAGUUCUCUUCUGGAAGCUCUGCGACUUCAACAAGAAAUUCCUCUUCUUCGUACUGAAGAGCAGUGACGUCCUAGACAUCCUUGUCCCCAUCCUCUUCUUCCUCAACGAUGCCCGGGCCGAUCAAUCUCGGGUGGGCCUGAUGCACAUUGGUGUCUUCAUCCUGCUGCUUCUGAGCGGGGAGCGGAACUUUGGGGUGCGGCUGAACAAGCCUUACUCGGUUCGCGUGCCCAUGGACAUCCCAGUCUUCACGGGGACCCACGCCGACCUGCUCAUUGUGGUGUUCCACAAAAUCAUCACCAGCGGGCACCAGCGGCUGCAGCCCCUCUUCGACUGCCUGCUCACCAUCGUGGUCAACGUGUCCCCCUACCUCAAGAGCCUGUCCAUGGUGACUGCCAACAAGUUGCUGCACCUGCUGGAGGCCUUCUCCACCACCUGGUUCCUCUUCUCUGCCGCCCAGAACCACCACCUGGUCUUCUUCCUCCUGGAGGUCUUCAACAACAUCAUCCAGUACCAGUUUGACGGCAACUCCAACCUGGUCUACGCCAUCAUCCGCAAGCGCAGCGUCUUCCAUCAGCUGGCCAACCUGCCCACGGACCCACCCACCAUUCACAAGGCCCUGCAGCGGCGCCGGCGGACACCCGAGCCCUUGUCUCGCACCGGCUCCCAGGAGGGCACCUCCAUGGAGGGCUCCCGCCCCGCCGCCCCUGCAGAGCCAGGCACCCUCAAGACCAGCCUGGUGGCUACUCCAGGCAUUGACAAGCUGACGGAGAAGUCCCAGGUGUCAGAGGAUGGCACCUUGCGGUCCCUGGAGCCUGAGCCCCAGCAGAGCUCAGAGGACGGCAGCCCGGCCAAGGGGGAGCCCAGCCAGGCAUGGAGGGAGCAGCGGCGACCAUCCAGUUCAUCAGCCAGUGGGCAGUGGAGCCCAACGCCGGAGUGGGUGAGGGACCCCAUGCCAGGUCCUCUCCUGGAAGUCAAAGCUGCCGCUGCAGACCAUCAUGAGGCUGCUGCAGGUGCUGGUUCCGCAGGUGGAGAAGAUCUGCAUCGACAAGGGCCUGACGGAUGAGUCUGAGAUCCUACGGUUCCUGCAGCAUGGCACCCUGGUGGGGCUGCUGCCCGUGCCCCACCCCAUCCUCAUCCGCAAGUACCAGGCCAACUCGGGCACUGCCAUGUGGUUCCGCACCUACAUGUGGGGCGUCAUCUAUCUGAGGAAUGUGGACCCCCCUGUCUGGUACGACACUGAUGUGAAGCUGUUUGAGAUACAGCGGGUGUGAGGAUGAAGCCGACGAGGGACUCAGUCUAGGGGAAGGCAGGGCCCUGGUCCCUGCGGCUUCCCUGACCCACCAUUCUGAGCUUUAAAUUACCACAAUCAGGGCCUGGGACAGGCAGAGUGACCGAGUCCUGAGUGUCAGGCCCCAGAGACCCCUGUGGCCAGGACAAUGUGGACCGACUCUGAUCUCCCUCAACCCCUAGGCUGGACUCACAGGAGCCUCAUCUCCGGGGCUAAGCCCCCACCAGAGACCACUGCCCCCAAUAGUCAGACUCCCCCUUUAAGACCUGGCUCAGUGCUGUCCCCUCAGUGCCCACCCACUCCUGUCCUGCCCAGUGCCAGAGGCAGAAGCCAUCAGGUCACUGUGCCCUAAGGGGUUUGACCAAGGAACCACGGGCUGUCCCUUGAGGUGCCUGGGCAGGGUGAGGGGGUGCUUCCAGCCUCCUAACCCGAAGCCAGCUGUUCCAGGCUCCAGGGGAAAUAGGUGUGGCCAGGCUGCUCCUCAAGGAGGCUGGGAGCUGGCUGACUGCAAAAGCCAGGCUGGGGCACCUCCCGUAUACUUGGGCAUGGUGUGGGGUGGUGAGGGUCUCCCGCUGUAUUCUCCUGGUCUGUGGAAAUAGCCUGGCUCCCUCUUACCCAGUAAUGAGGGGUAGGGAAGGGAACCAGGGGGAGCCAUUUAGUCCUUCCUGCCCUGCCCAUUGCCUGGAUGGGGCGAUGUCACCCCCUCAUCCUUCCCCCAGCUCUGGCCCCUGGGUCCCGCCCCCCAACCCCCUGUGUCAGAACAAUCUUUGCUCUGUACAAUCGGCCUCUUUACAAUAAAACCUCCUGCUCCACA